ensembl:rRNA 5S_rRNA 5S ribosomal RNA
ACCUACGGCGAUACCACCCUGAAUGCGCCCAGUCUCAUCUGAUCUCAAGCUAAGCAGGGUCGGGCCUGGUUAGUACCUGGAUGGGGUAGGCA